GAAUUGUUCACAAUGGGCGCAAGCCUGAUGACGCAACGCCGCGUGGAGGAUGAAGGUCUUCGGAUUGUAAACUCCUGUUGCCCGGGACGAAAAGCUUCGACCUAAUACGUCGAGGUCUGACGGUACCGGGUGAGGACGCCCAGGCCAACUCUGUGCCAGCAGCCGCGGUAAUACAGAGGGGGCAAGCGUGGUUCGGAAUUACUGGGCGUAAAGGGCGCGUAGGCGGCCUGCGAAGUCGAACGUGAAAUCCCCGGGCUCAACCCGGGAACUGCGUCCGAUACUGGUUGGCUUGAAUUCGGGAGAGGGAUGCGGAAUUCCAGGUGUAGCGGUGAAAUGCGUAGAUAUCUGGAGGAACACCGGUGGCGAAGGCGGCAUCCUGGACCGAUAUUGACGCUGAUGCGCGAAAGCCAGGGGAGCAAACGGG
rnacentral:rRNA from 1 species